GAUGCAGCGUUAUCCGGAAUCAUUGGGCGUAAAGCGCCUGUAGGUUGUUUAAUAAGUCUGUUGUUAAAGACUAGGGCUUAACCCUAGAAAAGCAAUGGAAACUACUAGACUAGAGUAUGGCAGGGGUAGAGGGAAUUUCUAGUGUAGCGGUGAAAUGCGUAGAUAUUAGAAAGAACACCGGUGGCGAAAGCGCUCUACUGGACCAUUACUGACACUCAGAGGCGAAAGCUAGGGUAGCAAAAGGGAUUAGAUACCCCUGUAGUCCUAGCCGUAAACGAUGGAUACUACAUGUUGUGUUUAUUUCACAGUAUGGUAGCUAACGCGUUAAGUAUCCCGCCUGGGGAGUACGCUCGCAAGGGUGAAACUCAAAGGAAUUGACGGGGGCCCGCACAAGCGGUGGAGCAUGUGGUUUAAUUCGAUGCAACGCGAAGAACCUUACCAGGGCUUGACAUACUGCGAAUCUUUCCGAAAGGAAAGAGUGCCUUCGGGAAUGCAGAUACAGGUGGUGCAUGGCUGUCGUCAGCUCGUGUCGUGAGAUGUUGGGUUAAGUCCCGCAACGAGCGCAACCCUUGUUUUUAGUUACCAAUUCGUUGGGUUUUCUAGAAAGACUGCCGGUGACAAACCGGAGGAAGGUGAGGAUGACGUCAAGUCAGCAUGCCCCUUAUGUCCUGGGCUACACACGUGCUACAAUGGUUAGGACAAAGAGUUGCGAGCUUGUGAAAGUCAGCUA
rnacentral:rRNA from 1 species